ACACUAAUUGUUGAAACUUUGUAGGUGGAAUUCUUUCACAUUCUUGCUUGAUGUACAGCUUCAGAUGAUCAACAGUCUGGGAUCUCCGUUGUCGUAUUUCAAGCUUCAUAAUGUGGCACACUUUUUCAGU